UUCUUAGUUUAUCGGGCUGCCCUAUCCAUUACGAAUAACUACAAACCACCAUGUAUAUGAACAAAAUAUAUUAGAUAUCCAUAUUAUUUAUGUGAUGAACCUCAGCAAGCUCAAUACAAUAAUUAUGUGCCUAUAUUGCUAUUUACAACAAUGUAUAAGAAAAAUAACAAGAUACAGACUGCUUUUACAACAUGUCAGAAUAAAUUGAUAAGUUCCUCUUUUUCUUCUUUUGCUUGCUAGUCUACCAAGAGCUCUUAAUCAUAUGAAACUUUUCUUAAAAAAUGACUUCAAUUAAUCAUAUUUCCAGUUAAUUUCCCUUCACUGGCUGAGUUGUGAGGCCAAAUCCAAAGGGGAACAGAGGAUCAUAGUGUGGAUCGCCAACGUUCAUCGGAAGCUGAUCGACUCUCUUGAACCAAGUACGCGCGAGUUUUCCGGUGAAUCCAUAGUCACCAAACAAAACAUCAGCAACACCUUGUCCUUCUGUCCCUGGAAGCCAUGCAGCCACGAGCGCGUCCAUUUUUUCAACGUAUGGUUCGAUCACAACAGGACGGCCAGAGAUAACGACUACAACACACUUGACAGUGCCACAGAUGUUUUUGAUAAUGCUAGGACCAGGAUCAAGUAUAGUGAGAUUUGAGCUAUCACCAUACAUUUCAGCAUAUGGAGGUUCGCCAACAACUACGAUAGCAUAGUCGAAUUGGCUGGACUCGACUAAGACAGGAUUCUGCUGGUAUACUACUUCUGUUGAAGGAUCAACAGUAUUCAUAAUAGCCUUUGAGAUGGUAGUUCCUGUAACAUUUAAACAUGUAUUAGCUUGAUUUUACUCAUGCUGCAAAGAGAACUUUCGGCUCUAAUCAGUAGCGGAAGCAGAAAUUUAUACGAGAGGAUUCAAAAAAAGAAGUGGCAAGCACAGUAGAGAUGGUGCAGCUAAUCCAGGUAACAUGGAUUUGCUUACGUACAGAGGCGGACCUAUGUUAUCAAGUGAGGGGUCGUCGGCAUCCGGAAAGUUCGGAAAAAUUUCCAUGAAUACAUGUAUAUGUUUUUAGAAAAUACUAUAUAUAUAUAUAUUAGUAGCACCCUGUAUACAGAGCAGAUUUUGGUUGAAAGCAAAAGUGCACUCCCGACCUUCAAAUCCUGGGUCCGCCUCUACUUACGUAUCUAGUACGAUACAUGUUAUAAUAUGAUUUUGAAUUAUAAGAGGGAUUUCAAAAGAUGGUUAGAACUAUUCAUUCGUUCAGUAACCAAGCCGGAUCUAGUGUAUCAUAAAAUAUUUGCCUUUUCUGUUGAUAUCCUACUGAAUGGAUCGAAAACGAUUCUUUAAUGAGGCCAGGGAUUAACCGAUAAAGAGAUCUCUAUUGGCUCUAAUUUUUAUGAAGAGAAUGAAUCUUUUUCUCUCGAAGGAUCAGAAGAAAUGUGUCAAGUAUCGGUACAUCAAGUUUUUGCUGCAGAAACUCUAGUCGAAACGACAGAAUAGGACAAAACAUACCGAUUGUAAGAUUAUUGCCGGGAACACCCUGCCAUUGAAUUGUCCAGCCUCCACACUGAUAUCCUAAAUUAUCUGCAUGAGUUCCGGCAACAAGUAUCCUUCGCGCUUUCUUCGGAAGGGGAAGUAAUGGUUGAUCAGGUUUUUUUCCGUUCUUCAAAAGCACAAGUGAUUUCCUCACUGCUUCCCUUGCCAAUUCUCUAUGCUCCUACAGAAAGAUAUUAAAAGAACAUAAAUAUAACGCGAAAAAUCCAACGAAUUGAAACAUUUUUGGUUAUAGCACAUCAGCAAUUUGCACCUUGCAACCCAAAUAUUUUGCCAUGCUAAGAUCAGCCAUUGGAUCCUCAAACAGUCCCAUGACAAACUUAACCCUUAAUAUCCUCUUCACUGCAUCAUCGAUUCUGCUCAUGGGAACGAAAUUGUUUUUCACUAGGAAAGUCAAGUUGCCGAUAAAAUCUGUAUAGUUCUCUGGUACCAUAACCUGUGCAUACACAAAUCAUUCAAAAUAAGCAACAUAUAAACCAUCACCAUUUUCAUAUUGUCGACGAAGAAAUUUAGUGUACUAACCAUGUCAACUCCUGCCAUAACACUUGCUUGAACGGAAUACGUGUAGUUAGAGUUAGCUGGGUUAGUAAUCCGGUUAAUACCUUCCCAAUCUGAAAUGACAAAGCCCUGAAAUAUACAGGCAAAAAUUGGUAGUUAUUUACUACUUUGGAUUCAUCCGUCAUCGACCUUAACCAACUGAAUGUAAAACCAAACGUUCACUGAUAGUUUAAGAAAAUUUUACACUAUCAAGUCACCAAAAGGAUAGCUACAGUUAACCGUCCAUAAAAUUGAGAUGUAGUAAUUUGAAAAAUAAGGUAGGUUAUUUGCUAAGCUACUACAAGGGGUAAAAGUACAUUGGCCGUGUAAAAGUUCUUAAUAGUAUCAGCCAGUACUGGAGCCAAAAUUUUCACGAGGGGGGAAGGGGGUUGUGCCAAAGAUAUAUCCCUCUACACAAGAUGCCAUGUAGAACCAUCUUGUGGUCAUCGAGUAUAGGAACUCGAUAAGACAAACCUCUUCGAGCAACCUCAUUGAUCGUCAAUUUCUCAGUCCCUUGUGAGUGUGGCACGCACCUCUAUAUCUUUUCCUAUCUAUAGUCAGGGGCUUUCGGGGGGUUCCUUAGGGAUCGAUUCGCUCUGCGUAGAUUGACUAAACACAGAAAACCUUAAAAAAGUAAAUCCAAGAAGAAGCCAAGAGAAGUCAAUAUAUAGAAUUUUUUACCUAGCAACAUAUAGUAAUUAUCCGACGAAUGUGGCUCUGCCACUGUUGUCAGUGUAUAUAAGUUAAAUCCGUGAGCUAAUCAUUCUUAAUCCGUAAUAAUCCGUAAUAAAGAAGCCAAGAGAGUCAAUAUAUAGUAUAUAUACAUAAUAAUCCGUCGAAAGGGUAUCAAUUGAUACCCUUGAAUACAUGUGGCUUCACCACUGGUGUCAGCAUAUAUAAGUUAAAUCCGUAAGCUAAUCAUUCUUACCCUGAAGUUCAGCCUCUCUUUUAGGAAGCCAGUGAGUAGAUGUGUGUUGGCAUGCAUCCUUUCGCCGUUCAAGCUCGAGUAAGAUGCCAUUACUGUCGCGACACCCUUUAUGACAGAAUCAUAAUAUGCUGGCAUGUGAAUGCUAAAUAAUCCUUGCGGGUCGAUUACUGUAUUAUUUUCAUCGAUUCCAUUGACCGUGCCACCAUCUGCCACAAAGUGCUUAGCACAGGCCACAACCUUUUUCCUGUACAACCAAUAAAUAAUUCAAUUCACCAUAAUAAAGGAUUGGAAAUUCUAAUACCAAAAAGACAUUCUGUUGAACCAGAUUAUAAGUUCAGUGCAACGUGAAUGUUAUUAAAUGAGAGAAGAUUUCAUGUGAUGGCAACCGUAUGUGGUGAAUCAAUUGCACUAAUUCUUAGAUCAUUAACUCUAACGUUCCAUCUUGAUAUCCAUUUAUCCCUUUUAUGCUAGUGAAAGAAAUUAUUCAGAUUUUUUUCAAGAGAUUCGGACGUUGUAUAGAUCAUUGAACGAAAAGGAAAUACAGUAAUAAAGAUUCAUACUUUCCAUCAACAAAGGGAACACCCUUGCUCAUGUUAGCCGGCACAUCUCCUUGUAAACCAGGAAUGAUCUCUGUCAUGCUUCGCACGAUAUUAACGUCUUCACUGUAGCUUUCAUAACAGCGGCCCCAUCUCGGGUUUCUACAUACCUACCAAAGAACAGAAUUAUUAAGAUAUCAAAUAAAUAAAGACACCUAAUAUGCUAGAAGUGUUAAUAACAUCAACUUACUGCAAGGCAGGGAGAAAAAGCAUAUUGUAUUCCUGUGGCUCUGACUUCAAGUGCAGUUGCAGCCCCGAUUCGCUUCACAAGAUCAGGAUCCCUGUAUUAAAACAACCAAAAUCUUGAACUCAAAUCGAUGAAAACACGAGGAUUUUAUGAAGGAAUAGACUAUCAGGCAAUUUUAUAGUCUAAUUCAACAAAAGAGCUCGGACGACAAGGCAUAAUACAAUAUCAGGAUCCCUGUAUUAAAACAACCAAAAUCUUGAACUCGAAUGCCUAAUAUAAUUGCUUGAUCAUAAGUUUUAACCAGAAGGAAUCAGCUAUCAGGCAUCUUUAUAGUCUAAUUCAACAAAAGAGCUCGGACAACACAACAUAAUACAAUAUAUGAAAAGCACCUGAAUUUUUAAGAAUGACUUAAAAUAUAUGUAUAGCUACUUGCCUGGUGACACCAAGUCCAACAUUGUGAGGGAAGAUUGUAGCUUUGUAGACAUUAUUAUGGCCAUGAACUGCAUCAAUGCCAUAAAUCAUGGGAAUGCCAAGGCGAGUCUUAAGAGCGCCCUUUUGAAACUCAUUUACCAUAUUCACCCAAUCCUCCGCGGAGGCAUUAGGUUUUGGUACACUCCCUCCACCACUCAAUAAGCUCCCUGCCAAAAAAGAAUAAUCGACGAUGAAAAAUGAAUUCUCUUACUUAUGAGCAGAAGUUAUUUUCCUUACGACUAUCUUAACUUUUAAUUUCGUAUUAUUUGCUCCAACUAACACAUAAACAUUACUAUUAAUCUUCGGUACCAAAACGUUUCAUUGAAGCAUUCUUGGAUAACUUAUACUUUUCUCAAAGAAAAUAUUUUCUACUCACAACAUAAGCACCAAAAACAUUCUUCAAGGAAAAUAUUUUCUCCGAAAAUCAAAUUUUCAAGAAAACAUUUUCCAUGAGAGAGACGACUUCUGUCAUAUUAAACAUUUUCAAACAAGUCACCCUCUUCCCUCUACCUUAUUUCCUCUAAAUGCAAAUGUUGUUAGAAAGGGAUUGCUCUUGUGUUGUGACUGUGCGUGCAUGAGCCGAGGGUGUCUUGGAAACAGUCUCUCUAACUGCAUAAGAUAGGGGUAAGGUCUACGUAUACACUACCCUCCCCAGAUCUCACAUAUGGGAAUAUACUGAAUAUGUUGCUCAGACUCUUUAAAAAUGCCAACAGGCACGUGUCGAAUCCUCCAAAAGUAGUACAUUUUUGGAAGAUUUAACACGGAUGCAACAACAUUUUCGGAGAGUCUGAGCCACAUAAACCAAAGACACAAAUUAUGAACAAAUGUGGCCAUUCUCAAACAUACAAUGCACAAGGUUUUAACAUCAAUUAUCUACAAAAAAUAAUUCAAGAAUGGCCAAUUCAAUCUUAGAAACUAAAAAAAAUAAAAAAAAAUCAUAAACAUACCAAUGAAAUAUUUCCUCAUAACAUCAGCUGAGGCAACUUUCCUCUCAAUUUGAGUCAUCUGACCAAUUUUCUCCUCAAGUGUCAUUCUUUUCAUCAAAUCUUUAAUUCUAACACCUAAUUUCUGUUUUGGAUCCUUAUAUUUCAUGUGUUCUGCCUCUGUAACAACAGCCAAGAGGGAAAAUAGCAUAAAUCCCAUAAUUAAAAAUCUCUCCAUUUUUUCUUACAAUCUCAAAAUCCUUCUUCUAAAACAAUAUGGUACAAAUCAAUAGACACAAAAAAGAAGUAUACAAAAUAUGAAUUAACAAACAAUAAAAGUUAGUUAAAAAGUAGGAAAGGAAAAGAAAACAAAUGAUCAAGAAGUCAAUGUAGCAAAUUUUUUGAGAUUUUCUAUUUUUCUAUUUUUAUUUUUUUGAUAAUGGGAUAGAAUUUAGUUGGAAAAAAAAAUAUAUAGAGCUCUUAGUGAUGGUUCACAUAUU
rnacentral:lncRNA from 1 species